CCCCAAGACCUUUUACUUGCCCUUUCUCUGUUAAUUCUAGUAAUGCUCAGUGAGACCCACCACCAAGGGGUGGCCAGAGGUGGAACGGCCAAGUAGAAAUUUCAUUUCCCAACCAAGGGAACAUUUCAAUUUCUAGGAAAUCAAUUGAGCUUCUAUUAAAAACAAUGACACAUCUAUGUGCUUUCCGCAAAUAGGCUGCUUCCUGUUGAAAGGCAGAAAGCUGCCUCUCCCCUGGGCCUCCAGAUGAGCUCUGAUUUAUCCCUCCUGCACCAAGAAUCAUGUGAGCUGAAAGUGGAAGUAAUGAAGACCAGAGAGUCUCUGGCAGAGAGUGAACCUGGGAGACCACUGCUGUGCAGUUUGACACCCACUGAAGAAGCAAAGCAGCAGCAAAUGACCAGCAAUGACCUUAUUAAGCUGCAUUCUGACAAAAGGAAAUAAAUUGCUCCUACAAAAGAGAGAAAAGAGAAGGAAGGAAGGAGGAGAAAAGAGGCAGAGGGAAGGAGGGUACGUGCUGAGCUGAGCUUACUGAGGAUGGUUCCUAGUUGAGUUAGCAUCAGGUCUUUAGCGUAUGAUGUGUAUGAUGCUACAGCCCAUUAAAGACAGAGACAAACUUUCGGAAAACAAGGGCAUGAGGAGAAAGGAGAAGAAGUUAGUUAUCUUUAGCAAAAUUUAACUUCCGAUAAAGCCCACCUGCUCUUCAAAAUGACAAUUAGGGUGGACCCAGCAAGAAACUGCACUAAACAUGUUUCUCCCUCCAGGCACCUGAGCUGCAGGAGAAGUCUCAGCUCACUUACUGCCCAGAUUUCUCUAUUUUUCUUAGAGACAAACACACUCACAAACACAUUUUAUGAUCUGAUACUUUUCAUUUAAGACAUGCAUUAAUGUCAAAGUGGAAUCACUUAUACCUACUCUGCCUUUGACUUGCACCUAUGAAUCAGUCUUGUGCCUAUGAUCUCAACACAAACAGUUUUGAAAUCACAAGAGAUAUGCCCUCUGCACAAUCCUCUUUAGUUCCAUGUGAUGAAGCACUCAUUGAGCCCCUGUGUUACAAGUUCCUUUACCACACAUUUAGUAGAUACUGAAAUGAACAGUAAAAUCGUCCUGGCCUUUGGAAAAUUCACCAUUCCUGGAAGUAACCAAAAAAAAAAAAAUUAGCAGAUGAUUCAAUGCAGCAUUUUGAUAGAUGUGAUAUGGAUGACAUCUCUACAAAUGAUAGCGGUGUGCUCAAGUUGCUGUGAGAGGACAGGGGACAAAGAGCACAGAGAAAAGCCUGGCGGAGUUGCCCCAAAGCUGUCUCAACUGAUAGGCAAGAGCUGAUGCGGUGAAAAGAGAGAGGCAGAGUAGCAAUUUCCACAAAAAAAAGCAUAAGAUACAGAUUCUAUUCUACUUCUUGGCCAAGUACAUUAUGGAAGGAGACAGAAGAGUAAGCCGAAUUUAGAGAACAAAUGCUUCUAAUUACAUGCCAUGUAACUCAAUCAAUGGGAAGCCUUGGUGUGGUAGAGGCCCAGGACAGAGAAGUUAAGGUCUACAGAUAGCUAGAAAUCAUUAAACAUUUCUUCAGCCCUGUACUUCUCACACCAACUCUCCAUAUUCUCCCCGGACACUGCUCCUGCCCUAGUCUCCUUGCCACUACCUCAAGUCUCUGGGGACACACUGAUCCCCUGUCUGCUUUGACCGGGAUGUGAAAAAAUCCAAUAUUCUCUUAAUUCAAGUAUGAUAACCACCAAAAGAAACUACAAAUAAAACAAACCCAAGUUUUAAAAAACUAAAAAUU
rnacentral:lncRNA from 13 species